rnacentral:siRNA from 1 species
AGAUUGUUGUAGUUUCUUGUCAU